AAGUGGAUCACCAAUAAUUCAACCAAGGACCAUUUCAACAAACAUUCCAGGCCAAUAAUUGAAUCAGGACCACUUGCUUUUUCAACCAAUACUUUCCCUGCCAACCAAGGGUGGAUCUAACUAUCGGCGGAAAAAAACAGCAAAGAAAAAGAAAAAAAGGGUUGAUCAUCCAUUAAAAGUAGAAAAAGAAUAAUUGCAUCUCAUCAGUGGAAGCUCAAGAUCUGCAUAGCAAGUGAGUAAUUCACUCCUUUGCCAUCAUCACCGGAGAGGCUUCGAAUAUAGUAGAAUUAAGAUCAUUGUUCGCAGGAGAUGAUCGAUUGAGGUGUGUAGUGAUUCUAGCGAACUAGUGAUGAAACUAGGGUUUGUGAUCAAGAACCACCAUGAUUUGCCGACACAAGCGCACCAGCCGAGUGUUUUGAUCGGUAGUCGAGUGAGGACGUCGAUGAACACAUUGCUUGUGUCUGCAAACCCUAGUUCAUCACCACACAACUCAAUCGAUCAUCUCUUGCCAACAACAACAACAACAACAACCCUAGUUCAUUUCGUGAUACAGUCACUUGUAAGGAGUUACAUGUUUUCUGUUAUUGCUACAUGUGAAUGUAAAAGCUCAACCUAGCAUUUAAGUAAAUACCUCUAUUUCAUCAUUGCCCUAAUUUCAGUAAUUUACACCAAAAGUAAAAAACCCAUCUGGUUCUAUGCAUGGAGAUUGCCUCUGUUACCGAAUCUAUUAGAGAGGGAAAUGUCGAUUAUGCAAACCGUAAUCAUGAGGUGCAUUUGGAGGUGGAAAUCUUAAACAAAUUGAUAUCAAUUGGCGUUAAACUGUUUUGUUUUUUUUGGGUUAAAGGGUAAGCUUGUAUUUAACAAGGAAGAAUAUACAUGGAGCUGGGGGAAAUACAACAAAAACCAAUGGCAACCAAUGGCAGCCAAAUACAGCAUAUACAAAAAGCAAACAAAUGCACACUACUGCAGUAAACCAGAAAACCAGUGGCUGCAAAGUACCAUGCAUGAUUUACAAUUGGAAUCAACCAUCAAGUGCUACUCAAACUUAGUACUAGGUGGACCAAACCUUAAGAUACUAGCCAAGAGGGAAUACAAGAUGUGGAACAAGCCUGCACAAACAUUGUAUGAAGGUCUUGUUCAGUUGUGAUUAGCCUCAGGUCCUCUUCUUUAGUUUGAUUGUUGCAAGCCUUGUUCUGAUGCAGGUUUUAAUUUGAGAGAUAAUAUGGUGAGGUGGAGUAGAGAUGUUCCUGAAAGCUCUUCCAUUUCUCUCUUGCCAUAUGAAGUAAAUGGCAGCUGAUAGAGUAGCUUGUGAGUUAUGAAUUCUGAUGCAGUCCAAUGUUUUGAACACCACUGAAUCAAGUCCUUCCAACAACUUGGCAAGAUGUAGAACCCUGCAAUCUCUUGUAUGAAUCUCCAAAUCUGUGAGCUGUAACUACAUUUGAAGAACAAGUGGUCCAUAGACUCAUUCUCAGCAAGACAUAAGUAGCAUCUAUUGACAUAAUGCUUGUGGAGCAUUGGUUUGGAGUCCAAGGUGAAAAGCCUACCCCUAACUGCUAACCAAGCUAUGCAGCUGUGUUUUGGUAGGUGGUUGGAGUUGAACCGUUGUUAAUUGACAAUGCUUACUUUUAUCUCACUAGCCAUCCCGAUCCGAUAAGGCAAGAAAGAAUAUUUUUUAGAAAAUGAUGUAUGGUUCAACAGGACAUUAAUUCAGGAUCUGCUGUAUUUCGUUUAGUUAUGGACUAUGUAUAGGUUAUAGGUUCAUUUCUUGAGAAACACUUUAUGAUAUACUCUAGGAAUGUUAUGUAUCAAAUUUCCUUCUUUUUGUGAAA